GCCAUACCAUGCUGAUUCACCGGUUCUCGUCUGAUCACCGCAGUUAAGCAGCAUCGAGCACGGUCAGUACUUAGGAGGGUGACCACAUGGAACACCGCUUGCUGUU